GUUUUUAGUACCUUUAUAGACCUUGAGAGUUUCAAUGGCUUUGCUCUCAAUAGAGGCCUCACUGAGCCAUCGGAUUUCAUCAACAAUAUCUUCAUUUGUGUUCCGAAGAUGAACGAAGGUCUUACGGCUGUAGAACGACAUGAGGAUGCCCGCCUGGUGGUCUGCUGUUUGCAAGGGCAAGGCCUUCCCGCAGAGAGAGGCUUGACAAGCAGAGCGCAGUGUUAUCCAACACGAGCUCUGCUUUGCUGCAGGCGGCUCCGUCCCAAACCUCAGCCCUAUCUUGAGCGAACAUCACACAGCCGAGAUGAAAAAGAGGGAAAUCGAUGCAGGGGAGAGUGCGCCGUGUAGAGAGCCUGCUUUGCUUUGAUCGGAGGUUGACUGACAAGACCUUCAGCCCUGUGAUCUCCGGCAUCAUGAAGGACCGGAGCCGUGGUGGCACAACAACGCGUGUUUGUUGUAUUUUGUGUGUUGUAGGUUUUGUGUAUUUGUGUCUAUAUGAUUUUUUUAAAAAUAUUUACUCCAAAACCAAGCGAGCCGCCUACGGAGCCGACAUUUUAAAACUUCAUAGGCACUCUCCUGACAUGAAGUCUUUUUCAAAAGGUCAUCAUAAUUAUGCCGCCUAAGAUACCUUCUUUAGGUCAAAUUUUAAAGCAGAAUCACUAUGCUACUAUACUUUGCAUAGAAGGCCACCCUAGAAUUCUGUGCAAUGAGCACGGAAACAGCAUUGUUAUUGUUAAAAAGAUAGUCCACCCAAAAAUGAUCAUUCUAUCAUCAUUUACUCACCCUCAUGUUGUUCCAAAAACUGUAUGCAUUUCUCACAAAAGGGGCUUUCGCACCGGAGGAACCUUUUCAUAGUUCCUAGAAUUAUUGGCCGUAGGAACUAAGAACAAUUUUAGUUCUAGGAAC